rnacentral:rRNA from 1 species
UACGGAGGGUGCAAGCGUUAUCCGGAUUCACUGGGUUUAAAGGGUGCGUAGGUGGGCAGUUAAGUCAGUGGUGAAAUCUCCGGGCUUAACCCGGAAACUGCCAUUGAUACUAUCUGUCUUGAAUACCGUGGAGGUAAGCGGAAUAUGUCAUGUAGCGGUGAAAUGCUUAGAUAUGACAUAGAACACCAAUUGCGAAGGCAGCUUACUACACGCACUAUUGACACCGAGGCACGAAAGCGUGGGGAGCAAACAGG